rnacentral:rRNA from 1 species
GCCUCAGUAACGGCGAGUGAAGCGGCAACAGCUCAAAUUUGAAAUCUGCUCCCCUCUGGGGGCCCGAGUUGUAAUUUGAAGAGGAUGCUUUUGGCGAGGCGCCUUCCGAGUGCCCUGGAACGGGACGCCACAGAGGGUGAGAGCCCCGUAUGGUAGGACGCCGAGCCUCUGUAAAGCUCCUUCGACGAGUCGAGUAGUUUGGGAAUGCUGCUCAAAAUGGGAGGUAAACCCCUUCUAAAGCUAAAUUGGCCAGAGACCGAUAGCGCACAAGAGAGUGAUCGAGAUGAAAAGCCUUUGAAAAGAGAGUUAAACAGCACGUGAAAUUGUUGAAAGGGAAGCGCUUGCGACCAGACUUGCGCCCGUCGGAUCAACCGUCCCUCGUGGGCGGCGCACUCCGGCGGGCUCAGGCCAGCAUCAGUUUUCCUGGGGGGAGAAAGGCGGUGGGAAUGUAGCUCUUCGGAGUGUUAUAGCCCGCCGCGUAAUGCCCUCGGGGGGACUGAGGACCGCGCGUAUGCAAGGAUGCUGGCGUAAUGGUCGUCAGCGACCCGUCUUGAAACACGGACCAAGGAGUCGUCCUAAUAUGCGAGUGUACGGGUGUAAAACCCCUGCGCGUAAUGAAAGUGAACGGAGGUGAGAGCUUCGGCGCAUCAUCGACCGAUCCUGAUGUUCUCGGAUGGAUUUGAGUAAGAGCAUAUUGGGCCGGACCCGAAAGAAGGUGAACUAUGCCUGUAUAGGGUGAAGCCAGAGGAAACUCUGGUGGAGGCUCGCAGCGGUUCUGACGUGCAAAUCGAUCGUCAAAUAUGGGCAUGGGGGCGAAAGACUACGAACCUUCUAGUAGCUGGUUUCCGCCGAAGUUUCCCUCAG